AUUGUUCGUCGAUGACGGUACUGAAGCCACGUGGUGGCGGAUCACGCGCGUGUAUGCACAGCCAACGAACUGCUGGCCAACGGAUCGAUUCUGGAUGUAACUCGUUACGAUUCGCCGUAAAUAACGUCGUCGUGACGAAGCGACGCGGACGUCUCACGGGUCUUCGCGUCCUAUUGAAACGUAAUCGUCACCCUCGAAGCGAAACGCUAACCGAAAUAGCGGCAACAUCUGCUCCAUAGAAAUGAGAGAACCAGCCUGCUGAAACGCGAUGGAAUCUCCACUUGUCGCAAUUUAAUAGACAACGGUAUUUAGAUCAAGCACGAUAUCCCUGAGAAAUACAAUCGAGAAAUAAAACACGGCCAUAUAUUGUUCGCGC
rnacentral:misc_RNA from 1 species